rnacentral:miRNA from 1 species
CUGCCAACGGGGAGCGGG